GCUGUCAUGCAGGUUAUCCCGACCACUUUUAGACUGGCGAAGGACAUUGAUGAAUCAAGUUGAGUGGGACCACUGAAAAGUGGCUUCGGAAAUUUUAUAGUUUAAAGGACACAAUAAAGAUGCAGAUUGGUGGAGUGUUGGAAUGCUUUUGUCUGAAAUGCUAACUGAGCAGGUAAUAUGUCGGAUUAAUAAGGACUAUGGCUAAAAAAACAGAAGCUAAAAGUUACUUUGGGAGUCUAGUUAAAAAGGGUUUGUGUUUCGCAUAGUCCUCAACCCACCCUGCCCUCCCCACAGAGAGUCAUCAAGAGAAAUUUCACCGGAGGCACUGUGUUUUUUUUUUUUUCUGGAAAUGAUCUCCAAAUUUCUUGUCUCAGCCCCCAUUUACACACUCGAAUAGAAAGAAGCUUCAGGAGAGAAUUAUCAAAGAGAAUCAAACUUCCACCGUAUCUUAGCAGUGAAGCUCCCUCUUUUCUGAAAGGAGUAAGUAUACACUUUUGUGAUUUUGUCCCCUCUUCUACGGUUUAUUUGAAUCCUUUUUCCAAAAUAAGAUCUCAAAAAACAACAGAGUUUUCGUCUUUUUGUGGUUGCUGCAGAAAGAACCAUCAGGAGGUCAGGCAGUGGUCUUGGUGAAGGGGAUGAGGUCAAAGGCCUUAAAUGGUUUCAGUCAGUCAACUGGAAAAAAAAUAGAGGCGAAAAACUGUAGCCAAAGUAUAAACCAGAUUUGGGUGGCAGACUGUCCGGCGAACAAUGCCUUUGAUGGCUCACCAGCUCCCACACCAACAGCCGGUGAACAUUUUCAAGGGUAUACUUGUGUUUCUCUUAAACCUUGGCUUUCCAUCCGGAAGAAUUAAAUGAUUUUGAAACAAGCAAGCCAGCCAGCCCAAUUGGAUCUUUGUUCUUAUGCUCGUUGCAAGCUGAUGAGAUUGCAAGAAUGUGAGAUUAAUUAAGUUUUUAAUCCAAACUCAAAAUCAUGCUAGAAUAUCCAAUCCAAAGCACUGUGGUAGUAUUUGGAUUGCUUGGAAAGAGAGAAGAUUCUGUUUACAACUUCCUCGUGGAGGUGAUGUAAAGCACUGGUGUAUAGAAGAGAGAAUCUUUUUUUUUUUGGGUAAGUAAGAAGAGAGAAUCUUUCUUAAAGCACAAAGAGUAAAGUAGCAUAGAAGAAUCUUGUUUUUCACUGGAAGACAAGCAACAUACCGAGUGCUACUUAGAAACUUCAUGAGACACUCUCUCCCAUAUUUAACAGUUUUAUUGAUAUAAAUUUUUAUCAGUAUUUAUACUCA